rnacentral:lncRNA from 1 species
ACAUUCUUUGUCUUACUUCCACAUUUCAAUAUGCGGAGAGCGACAUUUGGGAAAUGUCAAUAGCAAUGAACAUACUAGAUGAUGUUACUAAAUAACCUGAUGAUGUUACUAAACAACAAUAAGCAAACUAAUUGCAGCAGACGAGGUGAUUUACAUCCUCAACCUAGAUGAAAGAAUAUAAUGUCGACUUCUUUAUGCGACAUGUGUUGCCACCUAAAAUCAUGGUCUCAUGGUUCUUCGACGAAUUGAGGUGAACUUCAUGCAACCCCU